rnacentral:lncRNA from 1 species
CUUAAAAGAGUGCGUCAGGUAAAAUAUUCUCUUUUUGAAGUUCCUUUUUCCUUGCAUGCCUGAGUUGAAAAACCGUACGAACCGAGAUUAUUCAAACACUUUGGGCACUGCACAGAAUGUCAAGGGAAAAUUUGUCAGCGAGAACAAGCGACGAGUUUGUUCCACUUUAACUACUGAGGGAUGUUUUACCCAGCAGAGACAGUGCAUCAACGAAUUUGCCAUGCUGGUCUACAAAUUGUUCGAAGCAUUUCCAUUACUGAAUGGCUUCAGAUCGGCAGAAGAAAUGUGAGAAAAUCUCCUGUUUAAAAUUACAUGGACAGACGAACUCCGCCGGCGACUUCCAUGACAUGAAUUUACCGCUGGAUUGUAUGAAGGUUUCUGCAUCUGUUGCAUUUUUAAUUGCCUUGCCGUUCAAGUGGAAUACCCCCACUGCUGGGCUUCACCCCACAGCCUCAGCACCUCCCUUCUGUGGGAACAAGGGGCACAGCACCGGGCCUACGGGAGCAGUAUGGAAAAUGCAAAGCUUUGCAGGGACUUCACUGAGCAAUACGGCACGCACAGUGCUGAGCACGCUCGCAAUUUACUGCCUGAGGAGGAGAAUCUACGCAGAGAAUCCACACAGAGAAAAGGGGAAGGUCACGAAAAUCGCGUUUUUAUGUAGUUUGGAAGUCCCACGCACCUUUCGUUGCUUGAACUUGUCAAUGUUCACCAUAUGGAAAUUAUUAACUUAAUGCCGGUGUUCUAAAUACUGCCCAGGAAUGCUUUUUAGAAUGGGAUUUUUAUUCUUUGCGUCAAGAAAUACCAAACUACCACACAAAUACCGUGACUGGGGAACCUGUGGAACCGGCCCACGUCCCACCAGAGCGAGGAGCUCCUCAUUGGCACAGCCGUGUGUGUCCGGAGUAACCCGGCGCAGAGCGCGGUGGCACCGACAAGGCGCAUAGGGGAGAUAGAAUCGUAGCAUCAUACAAUUGCUCCAGUUGAAAAUGACCUUAAAGAUCAUCGAGUCCAACCGCAACCUGACCAUCCUACUCUAACAACCCUCCGCUAAAUCACGGCCCUGAGCAAACUGAGCAUUGAGAUGCUGCUGUGUGGAGAUCAGAAGGCAGACGUUCUGGACACCAUCGGGGCGUUAAGGCACUGUGCAUUUUUCCAAGCGUGCCCUCCCUGCCCGCACGUCCCGGCAUUUUUUUCUCUGACUUAGAACGAAAUUUGCCCGUCCCGAAUCCAUCCCACUCGGGCAUUCAUGCUGAAAGCAGCAACAAUUGUCACUGACCUUUAACACGCCUGCUAUUCAAAUUAGUGCAGAUCAUUAAUCACACAUAGCUUACAUUUUAUGAUUCGUGUAUCCUUCAUUACCAACUUUCCCCCUCUCUCGCUCCCGCCCCUUUCCUUUAUCCCAAGGCUGCUGGCAGCCGGCCCGACCCCCCCGCGCCCCUCCGCC